GACGAACGCUGGCGGCGUGCUUAACACAUGCAAGUCGAACGGAAAGGCCCUGCUUUUGUGGGGUGCUCGAGUGGCGAACGGGUGAGUAACACGUGAGUAACCUGCCCUUGACUUUGGGAUAACUUCAGGAAACUUGGGCUAAUACCGGAUAUGAGCUCCUGCUGCAUGGUGGGGGUUGGAAAGUUUCGGCGGUUGGGGCUGGACUCGCGGCUUAUCAGCUUGUUGGUGGGGUAGUGGCUUACCAAGGGUUUGACGGGUAGCCGGCCUGAGAGGGUGACCGGCCACAUUGGGACUGAGAGACGGCCCAGACUCCUACGGGAGGCAGCAGUGGGGAAUAUUGCACAAUGGGCGGAAGCCUGAGGCAGCAACGCCGCGUGCGGGAUGACGGCCUUCAGGUUGUAAACCGCUUUCGCCUGUGACGAAGCGUGAGUGACGGUAAUGGGUAAAGAAGCACCGGCUAACUACGUG
rnacentral:rRNA from 1 species